rnacentral:rRNA from 1 species
UUCCGGUUGAUCCUGCCGGAGGACAUUGCUAUUGGGAUUCGAUUUAGCCAUGCUAGUCGAACGAGUUCAGACUCGUGGCGAAUAGCUCAGUAACACGUGGCCAAGCUCCCCUUCAGUCAGCGAUACCCUCGGGAAACUGAGGUUAACAGCUGAUACAAAACGCCAGCUGGAAUGCGGCGUUUCAGAAAGACACCGCUGAAGGAUGCGGCUGCGGCCGAUUAGGUAGACGGUGGGGUAACGGCCCACCGUGCCAGUAAUCGGUACGGGUGAUGAGAGUCAGAGCCCGGAGACGGAAUCUGAGACAAGAUUCCGGGCCCUACGGGGCGCAGCAGGCGCGAAACCUUUACACUGCACGGAAGUGCGAUAGGGGAAUCCCAAGUGCGAGGGCAUAUUAGCCCUCGCUUUUCUCGACUGUAAGGUGGUCGACGAAUAAGAGCUGGGCAAGACCGGUGCCAGCCGCCGCGGUAAUACCGGCAGCUCAAGUGAUGUCCCAUAUUAUUGGGCCUAAAGCGUCCGUAGCU